UUGGAGCAUGGAGAGCCUGAGCUGAAUC
rnacentral:piRNA from 1 species